GCCUACAACAUAGCGUUAAUGCAUUAGAUCCCAUUAUAACUUCGUAGUUAAGCGUGCUCAGGCUAGAGUAGUAUUGGGAUGGGUGACCACUUGAGAAGUUCGUGGGAAGUCC
rnacentral:rRNA from 1 species